rnacentral:lncRNA from 1 species
CAAGAAAAAAUGUACGCAAGCAAAUCACGUGUUAGAUCUCAGACAGAACUCACGCCCAAAUCUCAGGUAAACAGAAUCGACUGAGAAAAGCUUUGUCCCAGGCGACUGAGCGUUAGCAAAACCCAUAAGUAAUUGCAUACAUGGUUAUGUAAUUACUUACUCUCGGUUUGAGAUUGUUAAAGUGUGUGUGCUGAUGUAACAAAUUGCCCACAUAGGUAAGAAACGAAAGUUAGUUAAACAACGAACAGAAAUAAAGAGCCGAUCGAACAAACAUGACUAUCAUAUAUAGUCCACCAUGAUGCUAAAUAGAAUCUUAAUCUUGCAACGCCAUUCUAGGUUGACAUGGAAUAACAGCUAGUCCGAAACUUCGUACGUGCGCCAGAUUCUUGGAUCUAUCAGAUGGCUCCUUUCCUCACUCCGCUGCUCAGAUCAGAUCUGGCAAUUCAACAACUUCCAAUAUUCCAAACCUGCAGCAGAUGACCCCCGAUUAUAUAUUCUGCUUUCUUACUAUCGUGGCAAGCAAGAUAAUGGCGUCGCGGGUUAUUACUCCGCAUGCGCGCACCGGAUGCGUGGUGAUAAAAUAGCAUAUCCGGGAUGAUCCGCGCCAUCGUGACAGCUCAAGUCAAAUGCACAAUUCGAUCCUAAAAGAAAGAAAGGUCAGAUGCAUGGACUGGCACCGUUACUUGGUUUUGCUACCUUCCUAGCUCCCGUUCUCGUCGUGGAUUAAUCGUUGUUUCGUGUUUU